rnacentral:tRNA from 1 species
GGUGGGUUGGCUCAGUGGUUAGAGCUAAGGUCUCGUAACCGAAAGGUCGCGGGCUCGAAUCCCGCUAGAGGCUG